rnacentral:rRNA from 1 species
UCGAGUGGCGAACGGGUGAGUAACACGUGGGUGAUCUGCCCUGCACUUUGGGAUAAGCCUGGGAAACUGGGUCUAAUACCGAAUAUGACCACGCUCUUCAUGGGGUGUGGUGGAAAGCUUUUGCGGUGUGGGAUGGGCCCGCGGCCUAUCAGCUUGUUGGUGGGGUAAUGGCCUACCAAGGCGACGACGGGUAGCCGGCCUGAGAGGGUGACCGGCCACACUGGGACUGAGAUACGGCCCAGACUCCUACGGGAGGCAGCAGUGGGGAAUAUUGCACAAUGGGCGCAAGCCUGAUGCAGCGACGCCGCGUGAGGGAUGACGGCCUUCGGGUUGUAAACCUCUUUCACCAGGGACGAAGCGCAAGUGACGGUACCUGGAGAAGAAGCACCGGCCAACUACGUGCCAGCAGCCGCGGUAAUACGUAGGGUGCGAGCGUUGUCCGGAAUUACUGGGCGUAAAGAGCUCGUAGGUGGUUUGUCGCGUUGUUCGUGAAAACUCACAGCUUAACUGUGGGCGUGCGGGCGAUACGGGCAGACUAGAGUACUGCAGGGGAGACUGGAAUUCCUGGUGUAGCGGUGGAAUGCGCAGAUAUCAGGAGGAACACCGGUGGCGAAGGCGGGUCUCUGGGCAGUAACUGACGC